GUGGGGUAGUAUCCUACAAGUCUUA
rnacentral:tRNA from 4 species